rnacentral:rRNA from 1 species
GUAGGUGGCAAGCGUUGUCCGGUAUUAUUGGGCGUAAAGCGCGCGCAGGCGGUCCUUUAAGUCUGAUGUGAAAGCCCACGGCUCAACCGUGGAGGGUCAUUGGAAACUGGGGGACUUGAGUACAGAAGAGGAAAGCGGAAUUCCAAGUGUAGCGGUGAAAUGCGUAGAGAUUUGGAGGAACACCAGUGGCGAAGGCGGCUUUCUGGUCUGUAACUGACGCUGAGGCGCGAAAGCGUGGGGAGCAAACAGGGAUUAGAUACCCUGGUAGUCCACGCCGUAAACGAUGAGUGCUAAGUGUUAGGGGGGUUUCCCGCCCCCUUAGUGCUGCAGCUAACGCAUUAAGCACUCCGCCUGGGGAGUACGGCCCGCAAGGCUG